GAGGGUACAGCUCAAGUGGUAGAGCAUGUGCUUAGCAUGCACAAGGGCCUAGGUUCAAUCCCCAGUACCUUCG
rnacentral:tRNA from 1 species